GGUGCUGUGGCAUAGUGGGUAAAGCCUGUGUCUGCAGUGCCAGCAUCCCAUAUGGGCACUGGUUCGAAUCCUGGCUGCACCA
rnacentral:tRNA from 1 species